CGCGGAGAAAGACGGGCGGUCAGGGCCGCAGAGGGCUGAGGGCGGCGGACCGGCUGUCACCGCACGGAGGAAAUCUGUCUUACCUUUAUCCAAAGAGCCAACCAUGGAGGAUCAGAGGCCUCAGUGAGCACCUGGUUAGUGCCCCUCCACCCACAAAUGAGGAAACUGAGGCUCAGGGAGGUGAGAGAACUUUUACAUUUUACUGGGUGAGGUAAUGACAAAGUUGGAACUGGAGGCCAGGACUCUGCCCAUUCCCCAUCACCGUGUGAGUUCAAGUUCUCAGUUAAAGAAGGAAUAACAAAAGUGUGGAAAUGUUACACAAUCUGAGGUGUGAUUCUGCAGGAUUGACUGUGGCAACCAGAAGUGUCAGAGACUUGCUAAAUCAUUGCCCACUUUCUUAUAUAGUACAAUAACUUUUCCCCCAGCUAACCAGCGGUGUUUCCUGUAUCCCAAGUGGAGAAAUAAUACACCUUAAAUAGACACAUGUCAUUUCACAAUCUUUGAAGGGAAGACAAAGGACAUUUCUGAACUCUUGAGCACUAGGAAGUAUGACUCCCACUCUGUCGGGUCACAGCCACUCUCAGACGUCACCUGCGAGCACUGGAAACCCCACUGGCAGCCCUUGACAGUUCAUAGAGUUCAUGAGAUCGAAGCAAGAGAGAGAGAGAAAAACCUUAGGCUCUGAAGAGUUUGUAGACGUCCAGCAAGGACCACGCAUGCGCAAGACAGCAAGUCCGGCGCAUCUGAGAGCAGCAGAACAGGGCCACGCGAAAAGCUCCUUCGGAUCUACCAGAAAGCUCCUUCCUUGGCAUUUGGGAGAAGAGUGGGUCAUAAUAAAAUGUCCGGUUUCUUUGGAAAAGUUA
rnacentral:lncRNA from 1 species